rnacentral:rRNA from 1 species
UCCCAAGGGUUGGGCUGUUCGCCCAUUAAAGCGGUACGCGAGCUGGGUUUAGAACGUCGUGAGACAGUUCGGUCCCUAUCCGCCGUGCGCGUAGGAUACUUGAGAAGGGCUGUCCCUAGUACGAGAGGACCGGGACGGACGAACCUCUGGUGUGCCAGUUGUCCCGCCAGGGGCACGGCUGGUUAGCUACGUUCGGAAGGGAUAACCGCUGAAAGCAUCUAAGCGGGAAGCUCGCUUCAAGAUGAGGUAUCCCACCCACUUUGUGGGGUAAGGCCCCCAGCUAGACGACUGGGUUGAUAGGCCGGAAAUGUAAGCCCGGUAACGGGUUCAGUUGACCRGUACUAAUAGGCCGAGGACUUGACUACCA